GACGUAGGGCGCGAGCGUUGUCCGGAUUGAUUGGGCGUAAAGAGCUCGUAGGCGGCUCGUUGCGUCGGCUGUGAAAACCCGCAGCUCAACUGUGGGCCUGCAGCUGAUACGGGCGGGCUGGAGUUCGGUAGGGGAGACUGGAAUUCCUGGUGUAGCGGUGAAAUGCGCAGAUAUCAGGAGGAACACCGGUGGCGAAGGCGGGUCUCUGGGCCGUAACUGACGCUGAGGAGCGAAAGCGUGGGGAGCGAACAGG
rnacentral:rRNA from 1 species